CCUGAGACUAGAGUCACAUCUUGAUACAGCUCUUGUCCUGGUGUGCAAGAGUCCUUGGAGAGAAUCUACUGGUCUUGAUUCACUGGUGUCCCCAUUAGUGCCCUGAUCAGAAACAUGU
rnacentral:snoRNA from 1 species